AUACUUACCUGGCAGGGGAGAUACCAUGAUCACGAAGGUUGUUUUCCGAGGAUGAGGCUUAUCCAUUGCACUGAGGAUGUGCUGACCCCUGCGAUUUCCCCAAAUGUGGGAUACUCGACUGCAUUAAA
rfam:Canis lupus familiaris chromosome 34, whole genome shotgun sequence.